rnacentral:misc_RNA from 1 species
UUUCCGUAGGUGAACCUGCGGAAGGAUCAUUAUUGAAUAAACUUGGUUGGGUUGUUGCUGGCUCUUCGGGGCAUGUGCACGCUCACUCCAUUUUUAACCACCUGUGCACCUUGUGUAGAUCUGAACAACUCUCGGGGAAACUCGGUCAGAGGAUUGCUGCGUGUAAAAGCCAGCUUUUCUUGGGUUCAGAUCUAUGUCUCUAUAUACACCAUAAGAAUGUAUUGGAAUGUAAUUUUAGGCGUUACAGCCUUUAAAAUCAAAUACAACUUUCAACAACGGAUCUCUUGGCUCUC